CUCCUACGGGAGGCAGCAGUAGGGAAUCUUCCGCAAUGGGCGCAAGCCUGACGGAGCAACGCCGCGUGAGUGAGGAAGGCCUUCGGGUUGUAAAACUCAGUCACCUGGGAAGAGAGGUAUGGGGAGUGGAAUGCCCCAUACGAGACGGUACCAGGGGAGGAAGCCCCGGCUAACUACGUGCCAGCAGCCGCGGUAAUACGUAGGGGGCAAGCGUUGUCCGGAAUCACUGGGCGUAAAGCGUGCGUAGGCGGUCUUUCAAGUCCGGGGUGAAAACUCAAGGCUCAACCUUGAGAAUGCCUUGGAAACUGGGGGACUUGAGUACUGGAGAGGCAAGGGGAAUUCCACGUGUAGCGGUGAAAUGCGUAGAGAUGUGGAGGAAUACCAGUGGCGAAGGCGCCUUGCUGGACAGUGACUGACGCUGAGGCACGAAAGCGUGGGGAGCAAACAGGAUUAGAUACCCUGGUAGUCCACGCCGUAAACGAUGAGUGCUAGGUGUUGGGGGUUCAUCCCCUCAGUGCCGAAGGAAACCCAAUAAGCACUCCGCCUGGGGAGUACGGUCGCAAGACUGAAACUCAAAGGAAUUGACGGGGGCCCGCACAAGCAGUGGAGCAUGUGGUUUAAUUCGAAGCAACGCGAAGAACCUUACCAGGGCUUGACAUCCCUCUGACCGGUUCAGAGAUGGACCUUCCCUUCGGGGCAGAGGAGACAGGUGGUGCAUGGUUGUCGUCAGCUCGUGUCGUGAGAUGUUGGGUUAAGUCCCGCAGCGAGCGCAACCCUUGACCUGUGUUACCAGCACGUAAUGGUGGGGACUCACAGGUGACUGCCGGCGUAAGUCGGAGGAAGGUGGGGAUGACGUCAAAUCAUCAUGCCCUUUAUGUCCUGGGCUACACACGUGCUACAAUGGGCGGUACAACGGGAAGCGAGACCGCGAGGUGGAGCGAAACCCAAAAAGCCGUUCGUAGUUCGGAUUGCAGGCUGCAACCCGCCUGCGUGAAGCCGGAAUUGCUAGUAAUCGCGGAUCAGCAUGCCGCGGUGAAUCCGUUCCCGGGCCUUGUACACACCGCCCGU
rnacentral:rRNA from 1 species